rnacentral:rRNA from 1 species
AUGUUUCCACCACUACUAAAAGCCACAGCGGGUAGGCCUAAAACUGAGAGGUAUAAAGGCUGCAGUGAGAAGAAAAGAAAAAGCGGUCAACACUUAUGCCCUAUUUGCAAGGACUAUGGGCAUCAUUGGCACAAAUGCAAGAAGGGUAACCCAGAUGACAUUGCUGCUAUUUUAGCUGUGAGAGGACCACCAAAGAAGAGGACAAAGACCACCAAAUCAGCUCAAUCGUCAAUUGUGCCUUGCGAGGAUGAUGCUCCAUCAGCCAUGCGUUUUCUGCCAAGCCAAAUCUUGGAGAAAACAACCAAAGAAAAAGGGAAAGGUGGUAAAUCUGGAUCCGGAGGAGAAAAAAGAUCAAGAACACAACCCAUUUGUGGCGAACAUGAUGUCGCCAAAAAGAAAACACAUGUUGCUGUGAAGGUACAUGCCAAAAGAAAAGGCAAAGAGGUUGCUGAAAUUACUCUGCACCUUCCUAUGGUGCCACUUGACAGCCCUGCAAUGGGUACACGCAGCAAGAAAUUCAACCCUGCUAGCCCUGCAAUGAGCACACGCAGCAAAAGGAGACUUAGUUUGUGA